CCCUUAGAUGUUCUGGGCCGCACGCGCGCUACACUGUUUGAUUCAGCGAGUCUUAACCUUGACCGAAAGGUUUGGGUAAUCUUCUAAAGUCAAACGUGAUGGGGAUCGAUCAUUGCAAUUAUUGAUCGUGAACGAGGAAUUCCUAGUAAAUGCAAGUCAUCAGCUUGCGUUGAUUACGUCCCUGCCCUUUGUACGCACCGCCCGUCGCUACUACCGAUUGAAUGGUUUAGUGAGAUCUCCGGAUUGGCUCUGUAGGUCCCGCAAGGGAUUUAUUAGUAGCCAAGAAGCUGCUCAAACUUGAUCAUUUAGAGGAAGUAAAAGUCGUAACA
rnacentral:rRNA from 1 species